AAAGGUAAAAGAAAUUUUGUUCGCUCAAAAUUUGAUUUUAAACACCCCCAUAGCCAAAUAAAAAAAAAAGACCAGCGGAUAAGCCGAAAACUGUGGGUAAACUCUGACGGCAUUGCCACAGAAAAAACAAAAAAAUGCAUUCGAUGAGGCCCUUCCUGAUUCCCAUUUCGUGCGAUUUUUCCUCCAUUGUAUUCACCAUUCUUUUUUUCACAGGUUGACCAAAGAAAAACAUCGAACCAUGAAGGUGAGCCAGCAGAGUUGCUGCACCGGAAAACCAUGUCGCCGGU
rnacentral:lncRNA from 1 species